GCAAGUCGAACGAGAAAUUGCCUUCGGGUAAUGGACAGUGGCAGACGGGUGAGUAACGCGUGGCAACCUACCUUUUUCUACGGGACAACAGUUGGAAACGACUGCUAAUACCGUAUACGUCCUGCGGGAGAAAGAUUUAUCGGUGAAAGAUGGGGCCGCGUUAGAUUAGCUUGUUGGUGAGGUAAUGGCUCACCAAGGCGACGAUCAGUAGCUGGUCUGAGAGGAUGGAC
rnacentral:rRNA from 1 species